UACGUAGGGGGCAAGCGUUGUCCGGAAUUAUUGGGCGUAAAGAGCGUGUAGGCGGCCAGAUAAGUCCGCUGUGAAAUCUCGAGGCUCAACUUCGAGAUGUCGGCGGAAACCAUCUGGCUAGAGUCCGGAAGAGGAGAGUGGAAUUCCUGGUGUAGCGGUGAAAUGCGCAGAUAUCAGGAAGAACACCUAUGGCGAAGGCAGCUCUCUGGGACGGUACUGACGCUGAGACGCGAAAGCGUGGGGAGCGAACAGG
rnacentral:rRNA from 1 species